rnacentral:lncRNA from 1 species
CUUUAUGUGCAACUAUUUUUCCCUUCAAGUAUUCUGAAAAACACUGGGAGGGUUUUGUUGCUAUCAGUUACCAAAGUAUUUCUGUAGCAUGAAAUUGAAGGCAUGUGCUACACAUAUGGAUGUGGCUUUGAGGCAUACAGGAAGCAAAGCUCAGAGCAAGUAGGAACUCGGGAUACCCUGUCACAAAUACAUGUGGUGAAGUCCAGAUAUCAAGUUUCCUUGGACAAUGAACAGUGAGUAUGUUAUAUGUACAGGUCUGCCAUGAGGGAGAAGUUGCUCAAGCCAGAAAGAAACACUGAAAAUAGAGGGGUUCGUUUUUUUCAGAUUUAUUAAGGCAUUUUCUUAUGGGAGCUAAACCAGCUGUGUCGAUGAAGUUAGCAUUUUCCAAUUGAAACUGCUUUUUGGACUGAAUUACUCUAUUUGCCUCUUUGAAUAUGAACCCCUGAUGCACUUUUUUAACGAUAAAUGGUGGAGUAAUCAAUUUCAUUUGCCUCAUUAAAGAUGGGAAUUAAAAGUUGGAUCUUUAAUUUUUAUUUAUUUUUUGAUAUAAAGGACACUGUGGCAUAAUACUAAUUUGUGAACUCCUAGGCACAGGGAGAAGAUAAGUUGCAAGAUUUGCAUCUUGUGGCUCUACGCAGCACAAAGUUAUUUGCUUUAUUUUAGCAGCUACAGUAUGAAAGCUGCAGCCUCUCAAGUGUUUAGCUGGACUGUUGAAGGACUGUUCAUUUAUAUUUAAGUAUCAAGUCGGGUUUAUGUUGUUUUCUUUGGCAUAGGUAAAUUUUUUGUAUGUAGCUCCAUGUGAUGUGAUUGAAGUUGCACGAAGAGUCUGUCACAGAGAUCCGAAUCCCUUCCUAAAGUCAUAACUACUGGACCAUACGUUAUUCAUCCCCUAAAUCCACUGAAAUUGCAUUAAUUUUAUGUUCUUAGGAUGUACAUGUGUUAGAAAACUACAAGCAACUAAGCCAGGCUGCUUUAAACAAUUUUUGCACCUUCUGCUAAAUGUUAGUGAUUGUUAAGUGAAAUAGCCGUUAAAAUAAGCACAUUUUGAGUUUACUGAAAGGAGCUGGCCACAUGUCAUUGCAGCAUUUUUACUUAUUGUUGGCUUGGACUGGCGGUGCAAACAGAUCUGAGCUGAAAAAAUGGUAACAAGCAGUUGUCAGCUGGAACAGUUUCUUAACGUGCUGUAGCUCAGUUGCUUGAAACAGUCUUUACAGUAAUUUAGAGCUAGGUUAGAAGCAUUUAAUAUUAUCUUGCCAAAAUUACUACAUUACAAAAUAUCAGAAAACUUCUUAAUUUGUAGAUGUAUAGACUGGGUGAAAUGAAAUACAAGGAAAUCUUAAGAAGAUACUCAUACUUUUCAUAAGACUAUAUUAUUAGUUAGGUGCUGACAAGGUAUAACAGCUGGCAGGCCACAACUGGACUUCUUUUGUAAAUGCAAAAUUCCCCAGGUGUUUGGGGGAGAUUACUGUGCCUUCUAAAAAUCUGUAUUUUCUCCUAUUCAGGUCUGCACUAACAUAGGUAUUCUGUUUCAAGCAGAGUGCCCUCCAUGUCACAUGUUGGUAAAAUUGGAACAAUUAUGUAGGACUGCAUUUAUGGAAUUCCAGCUUUUCAGCUAUUAUGUUACUCUGUAACAGUAUCUAUGACAGAAAGUGAUUCAUGCUUAUGAAAACAGUCUUUUCUUUUUCUUUCUUUUUCUUUCUUUCUU